CUGGCGGCGUGCCUAACACAUGCAAGUCGAGCGAGGAGAUUCCUCGGGAUGAUCCUAGCGGCGGACGGGUGAGUAACACGUGGGCAACCUGCCUCAUAGAGAGGAAUAGCCUUCCGAAAGGGAGAUUAAUACCUCAUAACAUUGCAGUUUCGCAUGGAACAGCAAUUAAAGGAGUAAUCCGCUAUGAGAUGGGCCCGCGGCGCAUUAGCUAGUUGGUGAGGUAACGGCUCACCAAGGCGACGAUGCGUAGCCGACCUGAGAGGGUGAUCGGCCACAUUGGGACUGAGACACGGCCCAGACUCCUACGGGAGGCAGCAGUGGGGAAUAUUGCACAAUGGGGGAAACCCUGAUGCAGCCAACGCCGCGUGAGUGAUGACGGCCUUCGGGUUGUAAAGCUCUGUCUUCAGGGACGAUAAUGACGGUACCUGAGGAGGAAGCCACGGCUAACUACGUGCCAGCAGCAGC
rnacentral:rRNA from 1 species